rnacentral:rRNA from 1 species
UACGAAGGGGGCUAGCGUUGUUCGGAAUUACUGGGCGUAAAGCGCGUGUAGGCGGGUCUUUAAGUCAGGGGUGAAAUGCCAAGGCUCAACCUUGGAACUGCCUUUGAUACUGGAGACCUUGAAUCCGGGAGAGGUGAGUGGAAUUGCGAGUGUAGAGGUGAAAUUCGUAGAUAUUCGCAAGAACACCAGUGGCGAAGGCGGCUCACUGGCCCGGAACUGACGCUGAGAUGCGAAAGCGUGGGGAGCAAACAGG